rnacentral:rRNA from 1 species
UACGAAGGGGGCUAGCGUUGUUCGGAAUUACUGGGCGUAAAGCGCACGUAGGCGGACUACUAAGUCAGGGGUGAAAUCCCGGGGCUCAACCCCGGAACUGCCUUUGAUACUGAUAGUCUCGAGUCCGGAAGAGGUGAGUGGAAUUCCGAGUGUAGAGGUGAAAUUCGUAGAUAUUCGGAGGAACACCAGUGGCGAAGGCGGCUCACUGGUCCGGUACUGACGCUGAGGUGCGAAAGCGUGGGGAGCGAACAGG